AACCUAAUGUCGCGCUAUUUGAUAUAUGCAUGUUGAGAAGGUGAUUCUUUUCUUAUGUGUAUAACGAAUAGGUAAAGAAUAUAAGGUUAAUUGCGAGUUCUUAAAACUCAUACUUAUGGUAAGUUCAUGACUCAUAAUCAUAUGAUAUGUUUUGAACCCCUUAGCGAAUGAACGCCUAUGGUCUGACUAGGAAAAGUUCUUAAACCCAUAUGAUUGUGGCAAGUUCCUGAACCCAUAAUGUGUGGUAAGUUUGAUGAACUGGGGUAUAGCAAAGUUGUGAAUGGAGCAUUGAGGAUUAUAAGAAUAGAUAGAUUUAUUAAGCAAUAGAUCAGUAGAAAAAGUGAAGUUGAUGAUGGAAGCAUAGGUAUUCCAAAUCUUGUAGCUAUGCUAGACUUCGAAGUUUUUGACAUCAAGCUAAAUACGCACUAUGUGCUUUUGAAAAAUGAUUUUUAUUCUCAACUCCGGGUGACCCUUGUGUAUGCGUGGACUUCGGGCUACCGACACCUCGUUGCCUGUUGANNN
rnacentral:lncRNA from 1 species